ACCAAGUGGGGAAAGAAAAGUAUACCUGAAACUUCGCCCAACGCCACCGAUCAUGGGUGCAAGAAAUGCUAUCAUGUGCUUGGUGUUGAUUCUUGUAUUGUUCGCGGAUCAUGGCUCCGCAGGAUGCUGGGUGAAUAUCAAUGGCGGCCCACUCUGCAUAGGCUUUCUGUGCAAGGCGACUUGCUUGAUUGCGGAGAAGAUGUUUAAUUCCGUUCUCAAGGAGCACAGGUGCGAGGGGACACCGCUCAAUAGCGAAUGCAUGUGCUAUCUCUGCGACAAAUAGUCGGUUAACAUGGGGGCUGAAGAUAGCCUCGUGAUUACAAAGUGUCAAACAAAGGGAAUGAAUAAUUUCUACUUAGUAGAAACAAGUAUCCUCAAAUCCGAUGCAGUUUCCUGCAUUUUCAAAUGCCGCGUCAUCAAUAUGCAUGCAUACUCCAAGAUUUCGCUGCAAAACAACAACGGGCAUGUGGAUGUCAUGUCAAUCGAUGUACUUUCAUGGACGAAAAGGCAGCUUCCUUCCUCACUGCA